GAUGAACGCUGGCGGCGUGCCUAAUACAUGCCAGUCGAGCGAACAGACGAGGAGCUUGCUCCUUUGACGUUAGCGGCGGACGGGUGAGUAACACGUGGGUAACCUACCUAUAAGACUGGGAUAACUUCGGGAAACCGGAGCUAAUACCGGAUAAUAUUUCGAACCGCAUGGUUCGAUAGUGAAAGAUGGCUUUGCUAUCACUUAUAGAUGGACCUGCGCCGUAUUAGCUAGUUGGUAAGGUAACGGCUUACCAAGGCAACGAUACGUAGCCGACCUGAGAGGGUGAUCGGCCACACUGGAACUGAGACACGGUCCAGACUCCUACGGGAGGCAGCAGUAGGGAAUCUUCCGCAAUGGGCGAAAGCCUGACGGAGCAACGCCGCGUGAGUGAUGAAGGUCUUCGGAUCGUAAAACUCUGUUAUUAGGGAAGAACAAACGUGUAAGUAACUGUGCACGUCUUGACGGUACCUAAUCAGAAAGCCACGGCUAACUACGU
rnacentral:rRNA from 1 species